ensembl:lncRNA
UUUGGGGAAAAUAAAAUAGACCAGAAAGGGAGGAUGAUUGCAGAACAUCCAUGGCAACAUCCUCACACGCUCCGGAAAUUCAUAUUUAUUGUGUUUGUCUGCUGAUAGGCAUGGUUAAGCAUAGAGGGUUCAGACCCAUUAGGGAAUCGCAAUAUCCAUGUCAUUUGUUAAAUGUGCAGAUUUGUCGAUCUAAAAAAUUUGUCAGAACGCAUAGAGUCAAUUAAGAUCAUCAACAAUGCAACAAAUGAGGAGUUCUAAUUCAGAAGAGGUUCAAACCCUUGAGACAAAAUGACUUUGAGCUGAUCUUUUCUAAAGAGAGAGAGAGAGAGAAAAGGAGAUGGGUUGCAAUAGAGGAGAGAUUGGUGAAAAAACAGCAUGAACUGAAUAAACAUGCUAUGAAGUGGAUCUUCCUGUCUUUCCCAAGGACAUUCGGAGUCCUGACUGAGCCCAAUCCCCCAUUCGCUAUCAGAGUUGGACUCAUCAUGAGAUUGCUGUUCUACAUCUUUGCUCCCAUCUCUUGCACACUUGCCCACCUGCCAAUGCGGGUGUAUUUGUUUAUAACACAAGUUGGAGGCAUCCAUGACAUGUUUUCCGAAGUGUGUCGUAUAAUCUAGGUGAUCGUCGAGCUCCCCUACAAAACCUAUUAACCUAACUUUACAUAUAUCUCACAUUGCAUGGCCCCGCCUUCUUUAUCUCAUAAAUCUGACCUGCUUAUCCACACAUCCAGAACUCUACAGCUUUGAAUGUUGAUUGUAACAUCAUUGGACUUCUAAACAAUGCUUAUUUUAGUAAGUGUUUAUAGAACAAUCUGUAAAUCUUACAUUAAAAGACACCAAGAAUUCUUGACUUUGUUUCGUUUAAUGCCUGCACCUUUAUGGUCAAAAUACCCAUCAAUCCCUGCCAACAUUCACAUUUUGACUACCUAAGCAACAAAGUCAAACACCCAUUAUUGAAUGAUGCCUAGACAUUUGUACCUUCAAUACAUGGACAGCAUAAAAUGACAAACUAUUGCUUCUAGAGUCAAAAGGUUACCUUGGUUGUACUUAUUUAUUGUCUCAAGGGGCUCUAACAACGUCACUAGUUUGAGCACACUCCCAACUUCACAGUCACAAGAUGCCUUCACUUGCAACUUUUAAAGCACACUGUUCAAAGUUUACCAGCAUAAGCUGCCUCCUCUCCUCUUAUGGAGAUUUUUAAUUGGGCAUUGGUGAUGUAAUGUGCCUCAUAAUAAGCCCAUUAAGCUGUCUUUUUUUCUUGCAUAGAUAGAGAGCGUUGUGGCAGUGUGGACACCUCUGCUAUUUAUACUGCUCAAAUCCUCAUGAAUAUUUACACCGAACAGAAAUGGCAAAGAGAGUAGGCAGACACCCUGACAAAUAGCUCUCAUGGGGAGGAUUUCACUCUUCCAGGAGACACACUUGCACUGGAACUUAUUUUCUAUCAGGACUGCACCUCUCCACAUGGUUCAGAUACUUGCAGGAAAAGCAAUUAAUUCUUCCAUUACACUUUACUAACUAGGAUGGGAAAAGUAAUGCAUUAGUUAACUAAUUUUACCCUUGAGAAAAUCUUGUAUAUGCAUCUAUCUCAUAUGUGGACCCGAGUGAGACUCAAAUCACAAUUUGAUGACUUGACUUGGUAAAUAUUAGAAUACUUGAGACUUCACUUUGAUUUUGUUGCAAUUACUUAUUACUUGCACUUGAGCUGAUGACUCAAGACAAAUAAUUUUUUGCAGAAAACACAAAUCUUU